rnacentral:rRNA from 1 species
CCUACGGGAGGCAGCAGUGAGGAAUAUUGGUCAAUGGGCGGGAGCCUGAACCAGCCAAGUCGCGUGAGGGAAGACGGUCCUACGGAUCGUAAACCUCUUUUGCCGGGGAGCAACGGGGUGGUCGCGUGCGCCCAAUGAGAGUACCCGGAGAAAAAGCAUCGGCUAACUCCGUGCCAGCAGCCGCGGUAAUACGGAGGAUGCGAGCGUUAUCCGGAUUUAUUGGGUUUAAAGGGUGCGUAGGCGGGGUGGUAAGGUAGAGGUGAAAAUGUCGGGCUUAACCACGGGCUUGCGUUGGAAACUGGCGGGCUCGAGUAGGCGAGAGGAAUGCGGAAUGCGUGGUGUAGCGGUGAAAUGCGUAGAUAUCACGAAGAACACCGAUUGCGAAGGCAGCAUACCGGCGCCCUACUGACGCUGAGGCACGAAAGCGUGGGUAUCGAACAGGAUUAGAUACCCCGGUAGUC